GUUUGAAAUGUAUGAGAAAAAGCCAAUAGGCCAUAUUGGGUACUAGGCCAUAUUGAGUUCAGUUACCUUAUUCCUAAUAUACAUACAAAAUUUGACUAGAAUAGGUCCAGUAGUUUAGGAGAUUAUUUGUUUGUUAAAAAUCAACACAGACGACAGACAGACAGAUGGAAACCGGAGAUGACCUUUUUUGGUAUUCUAAGGAUUAAGAUUAUUAGACACAACUUUUUUUCGUCCUUGAAGUAGAAUCCAUCAAAUUCAGCUUCCGAUUUUGAGAAAUUUUAUGAUAACUCCUCUAAGUUAUCGCCUUAUUAAGACGACGCUUCACCAACUGAGCGAAUUUAAUUGUCGAUUUAAUAAAAUCUUGUUGGAUGUUUUCCCAUUCCUCUAAAAGUACAUUCUGAAGCUCAAGGUGCACCCAGUUAAUAUGCUGGUCAAGAAACUAGAUCAAAAAUAAGCCUAGUAAAAACGGCGAAGCACUAUACUCAGAAAAAUAUUAGGUGGCCCCUUUUUCACGCAGAUGCAGUUAAAAGUAUUAAUAGGUUGUUUGCAUCGGGUCAAGCUUUAAAACAAUGUGCGCUGGAACUACCUUUGUGUUGUAGUAAUUAUAUUUAGGGAGUUAUUCAUCCUACAAUAAUUACGAAAAUUUUGGGUUGUAUCUAUUUGACAUAGACUAUGUCGUUGAGUCUGUUGGGUUUCAAAAUGGAUAACAGUAACGCUAACCAAAAUCUAGCUAUCGCUUUUAGUUUAUUUAAUAAAGCUGAAGCAAAUAUUCAGAAGUCAGAACUACCAACGUCAAAAGCACUUCGACCAGUACCGAAAGGAAAAUCAGCACAACUAGAACAGUGGCAAUCAUCACAACAACGACGAGUACGACGAGUACGCAUCCAACGUACAAUGGUAGUUAAUAUUCGCGGCAACAAUCAAAAUAUUACCAUGCACUCGGAUUGUGAAGUGGAAUAUACCGAUGAUGAAAACUAACCGAAUUAGUGAGCUAUUUUUAUUGUUAAUGUGUUAAUGUAAACAUGGCAAACAAAUGUUUAUUUAAUUUUAAGAAACUACAUGAGACUUCUGUGCUACAAUUAAAUUUUUAGUCCAUGAUUAUUAAAUUAAAUAUUGUUUUAAAGGUCAUUCAAUAAAUGGCGUCAUAUGUUCA